CUCAGGGAGGUAGUGACAAGAAAUAACAACACUGGAAAUUUUAUUUCUAGUGAUUGGAAUGAUGGGAAUAUAAACCCCUUUCAGAGUAACAAUUGGAGGGCAAGUCCGGUGCCAGCAGCCGCGGUAAUUCCAGCUCCAAUAGCGUAUAUUAAAGUUGUUGCAGUUAAAAAGCUCGUAGUUGGAUGUCUGCUGGAAGCAAUCAGCCCGCCCUAUUUGUAGGGUGUGCACUUGAUGAAUUCUGGCAUCUAUGUCCCGAUAAAGAAACGGGCGUUUAGCUGUUGGGCGAAAGCUCGAGAGCUCGCGUCCGUUUAUUGGGAUAAUACUGUUACUUUGAGAAAAUUAAAGUGUUUGAAGCAGGCUAAUUGCCUUGAAUACUGCAGCAUGGAAUAACAAUAUAGGAUUUCGGUUCUAUUUUGUUGGUUUCUAGGACUGAAAUAAUGAUUAAUAGGGACAGUUGGGGGCAUUCGUAUUUAACUGUCAGAGGUGAAAUUCUUAGAUCUGUUAAAGACGAACUACUGCGAAAGCAUUUGCCAAAGAUGUUUUCAUUAAUCAAGAACGAAAGUUAGGGGCUCGAGGACGAUCAGAUACCGUCGUAGUCUUAACCAUAAACUACGCCGACUAGAGAUAGGAAAAUGUCAUUUUGCUGACUU
rnacentral:rRNA from 1 species